GAUGAAGAACGCAGCGAAAUGCGAUACUUGGUGUGAAUUGCAGAAUCCCGUGAACCAUCGAGUCUUUGAACGCAAGUUGCGCCCGAAGCCAUUAGGCCGAGGGCACGCCUGCCUGGGCGUCACACGUCGUUGCCCCCCCAUCUACUCCUUCGGGAUUGCGGGGGGCGGAUGAUGGCCUCCCGUGCGCCUCGCCGCGCGGUUGGCAUAAAUGCCAAGUCCUCGGCGACGCACGCCACGACAAUCGGUGGUUGCGAAACCUCGGUUGCCCGUCGUGUGCGGUCGUCGCGCAUCGAGGGCUCGAAAAAAUUGCCGGGUUCCGGCUCGGCUUUCAACGCGACCCCAGGUCAGGCGGGGUUACCCGCUGAGUUUAAGCAUAUCAAUAAGCGGAGG
rnacentral:misc_RNA from 1 species